CGCUGCCUCCCCGGGGACGCCCGGGGAAACGGUCGUUCCUCCGAGCCCCCCCACUGCCAAAUCGUGUCGUGUCUCGUUUUUUACCUUCCGUUUACGCGUUGUGGGGGUUGCUGUGGGGUGUUGGGGGGGGCCACGCGCCUCCCCCCCCUCCCUCCCUCCCUCCCGCGUAUCCCAAAAAAAACCAAAAUUCGGACAACUCUUAGCGGUGGAUCACUCGGCUCGUGCGUCGAUGAAGAACGCAGCUAGCUGCGAGAAUUAAUGUGAAUUGCAGGACACAUUGAUCAUCGACACUUCGAACGCACUUGCGGCCCCGGGUUCCUCCCGGGGCUACGCCUGUCUGAGCGUCGCUUAACGUUCAAUCGCCCGGUUCCCGUUUCCCCCGGUACCCCUUCCGCCUCCCCCCAUCCCCGCCCAAGCCGUUGUCGCUCGCGAGGAGGAUCCGCGGUGGAUCCUGAGGGCGCCCGCGCGUUUGGAGCUGGGGGGGGGGUUCGCGGUCGGGGUUUUCCGGGGUCUCGGGGGCGUGGGGCGCGGCUGGGGGUCAUCGCAGGGUCCCGCCACGCCAGAGGCCAAAGGGUGGCCGGGGCCCUCCGUCCCCUGAAGUGCAGACGGUGGCGAAAAGAUGAAGCGAGAAGGGCCGCCCGUGUGGCGGAGCUCGCCCGCCCUUGGGGACCUCGCGCCCUCUGCGGGCGGCGUCUGGACCCGCCGGGCGCGCGGUGCGGUGUGUCGCGUGGGGUUUUGGGUACGCUGUCCCGGACCACCGGGCGCUUUCCCGCUCCCCUCCUUCCCCCGCCCGCUCGUCGUCGGGCGGGCCCCCUUCCCGUCGGCCGGACGGAGCGCCUGUCGGGGCCCGGCCCCGCGGCGGUUGCCUGUGCGGGUCGGAGCCGCUGGCACGUCGGUUUCCCGCCUGACUCGUUGCCGGGCGCGCAGAGCUCGGAGUUCUCCCUUCCUCGCGUGCCGCCUUCCCUCUCUCCCACCCUUUGGGGUGGGGGUUCCUUCCUCUGUGAUGCGACCUCAGAUCAGACGUGGCGACCCGCUGAAUUUAAGCAUAUUAGUCAGCGGAGGAAAAGAAACUAACCAGGAUUCCCUCAGUAACGGCGAGUGA
rnacentral:lncRNA from 1 species